rnacentral:rRNA from 1 species
UACGGAGGGAGCUAGCGUUGUUCGGAUAUACUGGGCGUAAAGCGCACGUAGGCGGCGCCGUAAGUCAGGGGUGAAAUCCCGGAGCUCAACUCCGGAGCUGCCCUUGAAACUGCAGUGCUAGAAUCUUGGAGAGGCGAGUGGAAUUCCGAGUGUAGAGGUGAAAUUCGUAGAUAUUCGGAAGAACACCAGUGGCGAAGGCGACUCGCUGGACAGUGACUGACGCUGAGACGCGAAAGCGUGGGGAGCAAACAGG